GUAGGGUCCAAGCGUUAAUCGGAAUUACUGGGCGUAAAGCGUGCGCAGGCGGUUGUGCAAGACCGAUGUGAAAUCCCCGGGCUUAACCUGGGAAUUGCAUUGGUGACUGCACGGCUAGAGUGUGUCAGAGGGGGGUAGAAUUCCACGUGUAGCAGUGAAAUGCGUAGAGAUGUGGAGGAAUACCGAUGGCGAAGGCGGCCCCCUGGGAUAACACUGACGCUCAUGCACGAAAGCGUGGGGGGAGCAAACAGGAUUAGAUACCCUGGUAGUCCACGCCCUAAACGAUGUCAACUAGUUGUUGGGGAUUCAUUUCCUUAGUAACGUAGCUAACGCGUGAAGUUGACCGCCUGGGGAGUACGGUCGCAAGAUUA
rnacentral:rRNA from 1 species